rnacentral:rRNA from 1 species
UACGUAGGCAGCGAGCGUUGUUCGGAGUUACUGGGCGUAAAGGGUGUGUAGGCGGUUGUUUCAGUUUGGUGUGAAAUCUCCCGGCUCAACUGGGAGGGUGCGCCGAAUACUGAAUGACUUCGAGUGCGGGAGAGGAGAGUGGAAUUCCUGGUGUAGCGGUGAAAUGCGUAGAUAUCAGGAGGAACACCGGUGGUGUAGACGGCUCUCUGGACCGUAACUGACGCUGAGACACGAAAGCGUGGGUAGCAAACCGG